GACGAACCGUGCAAACGUUGUUCGGAAUCACUGGGCUUAAAGGGCGCGUAGGCGGGUUCUCAAGUCGGUGGUGAAAUCUUUCGGCUCAACCGGAAAACAGCCGCCGAUACUGAGAGUCUCGAGGGAGGUAGGGGUCGAGGGAACUUCCGGUGGAGCGGUGAAAUGCGUAGAUAUCGGAAGGAACGCCGGUGGCGAAAGCGCUCGACUGGACCUCUUCUGACGCUGAGGCGCGAAAGCCAGGGGAGCAAACGGG
rnacentral:rRNA from 1 species